rnacentral:rRNA from 1 species
UACGUAGGGGGCAAGCGUUGUCCGGAAUCAUUGGGCGUAAAGCGCGUGUAGGCGGCCCGGUAAGUCCGCUGUGAAAGUCCAGGGCUCAACCCUGGAAUGCCGGUGGAUACUGUCGGGCUCGAGUCCGGAAGAGGCGAGUGGAAUUCCUGGUGUAGCGGUGAAAUGCGCAGAUAUCAGGAGGAACACCGAGGGCGAAGGCAGCUCGCUGGGACGGUACUGACGCUGAGACGCGAAAGCGUGGGGAGCAAACAGG